rnacentral:rRNA from 1 species
UACGUAGGGUGCGAGCGUUAAUCGGAAUUACUGGGCGUAAAGCGUGCGCAGGCGGUUUUGUAAGCCAGAUGUGAAAUCCCCGGGCUUAACCUGGGAAUGGCAUUUGGGACUGCAAGGCUUGAGUGCGGCAGAGGAGACUGGAAUUCCUGGUGUAGCAGUGAAAUGCGUAGAUAAUCAGGGGGAACACCGAUGGCGAAGGGCAGGUCUCUGGGCUGACACUGACGCUCAUGCACGAAAGCGUGGGGAGCAAACAAGG